UACGGGGGGAGCAAGCGUUGUUCGGAUUUACUGGGCGUAAAGGGCUCGUAGGCGGCCAACUAAGUCAGACGUGAAAUCCCUCGGCUUAACCGGGGAACUGCGUCUGAUACUGGAUGGCUUGAGUUUGGGAGAGGGAUGCGGAAUUCCAGGUGUAGCGGUGAAAUGCGUAGAUAUCUGGAGGAACACCGGUGGCGAAGGCGGCAUCCUGGACCAACACUGACGCUGAGGAGCGAAAGCCAGGGGAGCAAACGGG
rnacentral:rRNA from 1 species